CCUGAGUCAAUAAAUUCCAAGAGAAGACCUAGACUGAUUGGAUCUGUGGAGGGUAGAGAUAUCAUUUUCGUGAACACGGAACUUGGCGUCUACGAGAUUGAUCUCAAGACACUAAUGUGGAAGGAGCGAAUGAAGGGGGGCAACUUCCAUUCUUCGAUUCCGUACAUGAGCUUCUACAAUCUCCUAGGUAUAUCUACAUGUAUUUCUUUUUUUAUGAUUCAUGAACAACUCUUCGGUAACAAUAUACUCCCUCCGUCCCAAAAUAAGUGUCUCAAGCUUAGUACAAUUUUGCACUGAAGUUAGUACAAAGUUGAGACAUUUAUUUUGGGACAAAAGGGAGUAUCUGUUAGCGGAACCAUUAAAGCAUUGAAUGCCUGAUCACAUUGAAAAUUGUGUUCGGAAUUUGCUGCAACAAAUUUCAAGUGCAAUGUACUAAUUGAAGGUUACAAUUAAUUAUGCUUUCUUAAUUGGCAAUUUAUAUGAUAUACUAUCAUGUCAUAUCAUUAGUGGAAUCACAUUGAUAAACUAUGUUUGCAGAAAGGGUGACUCUUGGUGAUGCGGCAUGUUGAGAAUGCACGGUUGAGUAUGCAGGAUGCUACUACUCAUUAACAAGAAACAUGACAACUUGGAGGCAUAUGGUGUGAUGAACUGUGUCACUACUUAGUAGCCCUUUUGGUGCAGUGGUGCCUGCAUGAUUCCUCAUAUUAGUGUUGGCUUUUGUCUGUUAGUUUGGCAGUUCCCCGUGUGGUUCGUGUGUAAGUGGGUGAACUAAUUAUCUUGUAGCGAAACAUUAAUUUCUGGCCUCUAUGUGAACCGUUGUUAAAUUUAUGCAUCUGCAAAAAGUGGCUUAAAUCCCAAGUUUAUCUAGUCUCUAAAUUCAUCUUCUAAAAUGGUUAUCCUUGGUGAGCACCAGAUGCCGAUGGCAUGUCCACAGCUAGUGGCUCGCUCAUAUUUCUUAAUUGAUCUAGAUAAAUUUUUUUUGUGCUAGACAUACAUGUUG
rnacentral:lncRNA from 1 species